AUACACUAGAUAGCCGUGGUUUCAUUUCCGAGCUGGAGACCUCCCCGCGUUCCAGGCCGGCUCCUAUCCCAGGUGGCACCUCUCCUCCAGCGUGGCAACCCCACCUCAACGAGCAUGUGCUUCCCUCUGUUUCCGCCGAUCAGCUGUCUCUUCUCCAUUCACGCACGCAAGCUCUCUUUUUUCACGAAUUUGAUUUAACAGGUAAUGAUCAAUUCGAACCCUAGAUCCCUUGCCUCCUUCUCCUAAUUUUCUUUCCUCCGUCCUACGAUACGUUGUCUACAGGCUCUAUUUUUCGGGACUCUGCUUCCCCGCCGUUCAUCGAAGCUGUUGCCACUCUCGCCUUCCUGCCUCGAUCUUCUCUGUGGGUGUUGUGAUCCCGAUUCUUCCAUCUCCACCGUGUGACUUGUCUUUCUGUCCUUUUUCUCGGUUUCUCUCUGCAUGGUGUUGGUGUCACUCUGAAAUCCUGAUCUUCAACCCAGUUUUCUUUAUCCCCAUCCAGUUCGUGUUUCUGGAUCCUUUCUUGGAUUAUCCCAGUUUUCUCCAUUUGGGUACAUUGUGCAUCAAGAUGUUCGACUUCCAUCGACGUUUUCUGUCUCGAACGACCCCUCAGAACAGUAUUGGAAAGAAUAGUUGCACCUCAUCAAAAGCAUGACUAUGAUACAGUCUGUAAUCUGAAUCAGGAGCCGGGCUCUGGUAAUAUAUAUCAAAUGUUUCAGUGGCUUUUCUCGCUCAGCAAAGGUGAUAAAUAGCCCAGAGAUGAAUUUUAUUUUGUUUGCUAGGUAAGAAGCCUCCAUUGUUAACAUUUUUUUUCUUUUUCUUCGUUGGCGAUACCACUUUAACAUAUUUUUAGACUUGAGCAUCGAUCCGGUCUAGCAAGAACCGAUUUAGAUAGAUUUUGCUGCCACGGUGGGAUUGCCUUUUCUAUCUUAGGCUUGCGGCCUUAUGCCAAGAAUUGGAGUUGGAUAGAAGUUGAGUUUAAAAUGUCAGUUUUGCCUUUUCUCCCCUUAGCAAUGCUUCUAUAGUUAUCAAAUGUAGAAUUGACGUGUCAUUUCAUGACUCUUGAACUCUGUAAUGGUACAUAUAUUUUUUUGUUAUUUUUUGUAG